rnacentral:rRNA from 1 species
CACGUAGGGUGCAAGCGUUGUCCGGAAUUAUUGGGCGUAAAGAGCUCGUAGGCGGUUUGUCGCGUCGAAUGUGAAAACCCGGGGCUCAACCCCGGGCCUGCAUUCGAUACGGGCAGACUAGAGUUCGGUAGGGGAGUCUGGAAUUCCUGGUGUAGCGGUGAAAUGCGCAGAUAUCAGGAGGAACACCGGUGGCGAAGGCGGGUCUCUGGGCCGAAACUGACGCUGAGGAGCGAAAGCGUGGGGAGCAAACAGG